rnacentral:rRNA from 1 species
GACGAACGCUGGCGGCGUGCCUAAUACAUGCAAGUAGAACGCUGAAGAGAGGAGCUUGCUCUUCUUGGAUGAGUUGCGAACGGGUGAGUAACGCGUAGGUAACCUGCCUUGUAGCGGGGGAUAACUAUUGGACACGAUAGCUAAUACCGCAUAACAAUAGGCUACACAUGUCAUUUAUUUGAAAGGGGCAAUUGCUCCACUACAAGAUGGACCUGCGUUGUAUUAGCUAGUAGGUGAGGUAACGGCUCACCUAGGCGACGAUACAUAGCAGACCUGAGAGGAUGAUCGGCCACACUGGGACUGAGACACGGCCCAGACUCCUACAGGAGGCAGCAGUAGGGAAUCUUCGGCAAUGGGGGCAACCCUGAGCGAGCAACGCCGCGUGAGGGAAGAAGGUUUUCGGGUCGUAAAGCUCUGUUGUAAGUCAAGAACGAGUGUGAGAGUGGAAAGUUCACACUGUGACGGUAGCUUAUCAGAAAGGGACGGCUAACUACGUG